rnacentral:rRNA from 1 species
AGUCCAAGGGUGCUCUAAACCCAGAUGGGCGCAGCGAAAGCGAAGAGCCUGGUUAAUUUUUUUUAAUCGUUCUAUGGCGGGGGAUGCAUUUUAUGCUUCUUCGUCUGGCUUGAGCUGAUCUGCCCUUUGUCGUUAGGUCAUACUAUGCAAGGUGGCACAAGCUCGGGGUCUACAGGCCUCACCUGUGGACACUCUGAGCGUGCGUGUUAGUACCCGAAAGAUGGUGAUCUAUGCUUGGCGAGAAUGAAGCCGGGGGAAACUCCGGUGGAAGUUCGUAGCGAUUCUGACGUGCAAAUCGAUCGUCGGAGCUGUGUAUAGGGG